UCUUGAGACUUGUGCGAUGAGUUCUUUGGAUAAUGCUUCAGGGUGGGAACACAGCAGAGCCUCCAAAUCGCUUAAGUGCCGCAAGUAUCUUAAGGAGG
rnacentral:SRP_RNA from 1 species